CUCUUCCAGAAGUAUUCCUCCUUCUGAGGAUCACUGAAGCCUCGUACCUCGGUCACUCGAUGGACACACUCAGAGGGGAUGAGAUCAGCUGCUGCUGGUCUGGAGGUGAUCCAGAUGAGAGCAGAGGGGAGCAGAUUCCCCACAAUCAGGUUCAUCAGCAGCUCGUCCACUGAUGUCUCUUUGGUCACAUCCUGUAGAGUUUCACUGCAGUCAAAGUUUAAGGGAAGACGGCACUCGUCCAGACCAUCAAAGAUGAACAACACUUUAUAUUCACCACUGAAUGGUUUCAUUUCUUUGGUUUCAGGAAAGAAAAUAUGCAACAGAUCCAAAAGACUGAGUGUUUUGUCCUUCAUCAGAUUGAUCUCUCUGAAAGGAAGUGGAAAUAUGAGCUGGACGUCCUGAUUCUCUUGUCCUUCAGCCCAGUCCAGGAUGAACUUCUGCACAGAGACUGUUUUUCCAAUGCCAGCGACUCCCUUUGUCAGCACAGUUCUG